rnacentral:rRNA from 1 species
GUAGGGAAUAUUGCGCAAUGGGGGAAACCCUGACGCAGCGACGCCGCGUGAGUGAUGAAGGACUUCGGUUCGUAAAGCUCUGUCGCAGGGGAAAAAUUUUUGAUGGUACCCUGUAAGAAAGGAUCGGCUAACUUCGUGCCAGCAGCCGCGGUAAGACGAGGGAUCCUAGCGUUGUUCGGAAUCAUUGGGCGUAAAGCGGGUGUAGGUGGUUUUGUAAGUCAGGUGUGAAAGCCCAGGGCUCAACCCUGGAAGUGCAUUUGAUACUACAAGACUUGAGUGUGGGAGAGGCUAGUAGAAUUCCUGGUGUAGUGGUGAAAUACGUAGAUAUCAGGAGGAAUACCGGUGGCGAAGGCGGCUAGCUGGCCCAACACUGACACUGAGACCCGAAAGCGUGGGGAUCAAACAGGAUUAGAAACCCCAGUAGUCC